UACGUAGGGGGCAAGCGUUAUCCGGAUUUACUGGGUGUAAAGGGAGCGUAGACGGCACGGCAAGCCAGAUGUGAAAGCCCGGGGCUCAACCCCAGGACUGCAUUUGGAACUGCUGAGCUAGAGUGUCGGAGAGGCAAGUGGAAUUCCUAGUGUAGCGGUGAAAUGCGUAGAUAUUAGGAGGAACACCAGUGGCGAAGGCGGCUUGCUGGACGAUGACUGACGUUGAGGCUCGAAAGCGUGGGGAGCAAACAGG
rnacentral:rRNA from 1 species